rnacentral:misc_RNA from 1 species
GUACUAAUCUUCCCUAUCUCCAUCAAUCAUUUCCUUUUAUACAUCCCCUAACAAAAAUUACUUUUCUCAUCACUAAAUUACAUUUUCAGCACCUAAUCUGUUGGAAAUUAGAGAUUUUUGCUUCUAACUUUUGUAGAUUUCUCCAUUGUAUUUACAAAAUUAUGAUUUGGCAGAGCCAGAUGGGGUUCAAAAAUUAACACUUAAUUUUGGCUGAUUAACUUUCUUUUUCUCUUCAUUUUAUAUCAACACUUAAAUAAUUAAUAGAAAUAACUUUAGCUGGGAAUAUAUUUUGUGCACAAUUAACUUAGAGCGGGCAAAUUUUGCAUAUAUAUCAUGUUAAGUCUACUAGCUAUUUGAUU